rnacentral:misc_RNA from 1 species
GUUUUUGUAUUAGAAAACAAAUAUUUAGAUUCUUGAUUAGCAUGAUUACAACGAUAGAGCUGUAGAUCUUUCUAAUUAGUUAGCUUAAUCGUAGGAAUCUUUGUAUAUAAAUUUGUAUCAACUCUUGAUGAAAUACAAGCAUCUAUCUUUCCUUCUUUCCACCAACCAGGCGCUUUUAUUUGCUCGUCGUGUGAUUAAAAAAGCACAGGUGGAGUUAUGGAGAUGAACAAAUGGAGGAGGAGGUCAGCCCCUGAGAAAGCUCCAAGGUCCCAUUCCAGUUCCUAUCCUCAAAAAGCCAGCGAAUGCACGUAAGCUCAUAAAAAUGGUCAACGCAAACCAGAUGCCGAUGAAGCCAUGACUAGAUGAUAGUGGUAUUAAGCAUAGUAUGCUCACUAUUGACACCAAAACCAUCGAGUAUGCAGAGUAUGCAAAGUCAGAUGCUCCAUAGUUGACUCCAUCAAAAACAAAGGCUAAAACAUUAAUGGUUUGAGUUGCCGUAACAAACGGGAUGCCCACGCUAAUCAGGUGCAAAACAUUGAUGUCUUCUGUAAAUAAUCUCGAAGCAAACUGUAAUCCAACUAAAAGGAAGACUGAGAGGAACAUCCCUAAAACCAAACCAAACUGCAAUACACGAGAAGCAGUAGCUUUGGCCUUGUUGUAAUCAUUUUUUGCAAAUGCACUAGCAAGGAUUGCUUGUCCAGCCNCCCAUCUGCAAGCAAAGAAGUUGCCAACCAAAUCUGCAAGCAAACCUGAAAUGCAGCCAUUGAAGUAGAU